rnacentral:rRNA from 2 species
UACGAGGGGGGCGAGCGUUGUUCGGAAUUAUUGGGCGUAAAGGGCGCGUAGGCGGUGUGGCAAGUCAGGUGUGAAACCUCCAGGCUUAACUUGGAGCUUGCAUCUGAAACUGCCGUGCUAGAGUGCGGGAGAGGAGAGUGGAAUUCCUGGUGUAGCGGUGAAAUGCGUAGAUAUCAGGAGGAACACCGGUGGCGAAGGCGGCUCUCUGGACCGCAACUGACGCUGAGGCGCGAAAGCUAGGGGAGCAAACAGG